rnacentral:rRNA from 1 species
GACGAACGCUGGCGGCGUGCUUAACACAUGCAAGUCGAACGGAAAGGCCCUGCUUUUGUGGGGUGCUCGAGUGGCGAACGGGUGAGUAACACGUGAGUAACCUGCCCUUGACUUUGGGAUAACUUCAGGACACUGGGGCUAAUCCCGGCUAGGAGCUCCCGCUGCUUGGUGGGGGUUGGAAAGUUUCGGCGGUUGGGGAUGGACUAGCGGCUUAUCAGGUUGGUGGGGGGGUAGUGGCUUACCAAGGCUUUGACGGGUAGCCGACCUGAGAGGGUGACAGGACACACUGGGACGGGGAUACGGCCCAGACUACAACGGGAGGCAGAGGUGGGGAAUAUUGCACAAUGGGCGGAAGCCUGAUGCAACAACGCCGCGUGCGGGAUGACGGCCUGCGGGUUGUAAACCGCUGUCGCCUGUGACGAAGCGUUAGUGACGGUAAUGGGUAAAGAAGCACCGGCUAACUACGUG